CUGGCUCAGGAUGAACGCUAGCGGCAGGCCUAACACAUGCAAGUCGAGGGCAGCAGGGGGUAGCAAUACCCCGCUGGCGACCGGCGGACGGGUGCGUAACGCGUAUGCAACCUACCCGUAACAGGGGGAAUAACGGAGGGAAACCUCCACUAAUGCCCCAUAUGGUCAUGGGACCGCAUGGUUUCGUGACGAAAGCUUCGGUGGUUACGGACGGGCAUGCGUGGCAUUAGGCGGUUGGCGGGUAACGGCCCACCAAACCUACGAUGCCUAGGGGAGCUGAGAGGCUAAUCCCCCACACUGGUACUGAGACACGGACCAGACUCCUACGGGAGGCAGCAGUGAGGAAUAUUGGUCAAUGGACGGAAGUCUGAACCAGCCAUGCCGCGUGAAGGAAGACGGCCCUAUGGGUUGUAAACUUCUUUUAGCCGGGAGUAAUAAGGCGCACGUGCUGCGCCGAUGAAAGUACCGGCGGAAUAAGCAUCGGCCAACUCCGUGCCAGCCGCAGC
rnacentral:rRNA from 1 species